AUUGAACGCUGGCGGCAUGCUUUACACAUGCAAGUCGAACGGUAACAGGGUGCUUGCACCGCUGACGAGUGGCGAACGGGUGAGUAAUGCGUCGGAACGUGCCGAGUAGUGGGGGAUAACGCAUCGAAAGGUGUGCUAAUACCGCAUACGAACUGAGGUUGAAAGUGGGGGACCUUCGGGCCUCACGCUAUUCGAGCGGCCGACGUCUGAUUAGCUAGUUGGUGAGGUAAAGGCUCACCAAGGCGACGAUCAGUAGCGGGUCUGAGAGGAUGAUCCGCCACACGGGGACUGAGACACGGCCCAGACUCCUACGGGAGGCAGCAGUGGGGAAUUUUGGACAAUGGGCGCAAGCCUGAUCCAGCCAUGCCGCGUGUCUGAAGAAGGCCUUCGGGUUGUAAAGGACUUUUGUCCGGGAGCAAAUGCUGGUGGCUAACAUCCACCGGAGCUGAGAGUACCGGAAGAAUAAGCACCGGCUAACUACGUGCCAGCCGCCGCCGUAAAAC
rnacentral:rRNA from 1 species